rnacentral:rRNA from 1 species
CAGCAGCCGCGGGAAUACGUAGGGUGCGAGCGUUAAUCGGAAUUACUGGGCGUAAAGCGUGCGUAGGCGGCUUCUUAAGUCGGAUGUGAAAUCCCUGAGCUUAACUUAGGAAUUGCAUUCGAUACUGGGAAGCUAGAGUAUGGGAGAGGAUGGUAGAAUUCCAGGUGUAGAGGUGAAAUGCGUAGAGAUCUGGAGGAAUACCGAUGGCGAAGGCAGCCAUCUGGCCUAAUACUGACGCUGAGGUACGAAAGCAUGGGGAGCAAACAGGAUUAGAUACCCCAGUAGUCCCUGUCUCUUAUAC